rnacentral:rRNA from 1 species
AUUGAACGCUGGCGGCAUGCCUUACACAUGCAAGUCGAACGGCAGCACGGGUGCUUGCACCUGGUGGCGAGUGGCGAACGGGUGAGUAAUACAUCGGAACAUGUCCUGUAGUGGGGGAUAGCCCGGCGAAAGCCGGAUUAAUACCGCAUACGAUCUACGGAUGAAAGCGGGGGCCCUUCGGGCCUCGCGCUAUAGGGUUGGCCGAUGGCUGAUUAGCUAGUUGGGGGGGUAAAGGCCUACCAAGGGGACGAUCAGUAACUGGUCUGCGAGGGCGACCCGCCCAACUGGGAACUGAACCCGGCCCCAGCUCCUACGGGAGGCAGGCGUGGGGAAUUUUGGAAAAAGGGCGAAAGCCCUAUCCAGCAAUGCCGCGGGUUUGAAGAAGGCCUUCGGGUUGUAAAGCACUUUUGUCCGGAAAGAAAUCCUUGGCCCUAAUACGGUCGGGGGAUGACGGUACCGGAAGGAUAAGCACCGGCUAACUUCGUG